UGGAGAAGCAAUUGUUAACUUUGAUUACAUAUGUUCAUAGCUUUGAUAAGAUAUAUCCUUAACUGUUGUUUGAACACUCACUGCAAGUCAGAAACUAUAUGUGUUCAUAGCUUUGAUAAGUCAUAUCCUUAACUUUGAUUACAUAUGUUCAUAGCUUUGAUAAGAUAUAUCCUUAACUGUUGUUUGAACACUCACUGCAAGUCAGAAACUAUAUGUUCAAGGACCAAUGUUGUUACUAAUUUGAGAGGU
rnacentral:lncRNA from 1 species